ACACUCACACUCACACUCACACUCACACUCACACUCACACUCACUCACACACACACUCACAUGCGCACACACACACACACUCACACUCACACUCACACUCACACUCACACUCACACACACACUCACACUCACACUCACACUCACACUCACACACGCUCACACUCACACUCUGUCUCACCCUCACACUCACACUCACACUCACACUCACUCUCACACUCAGACACACACACACUCUCACACUCACACACACGAACACGAACACACACACACACUCACACUCACACUCACACUCACACUCACACUCACACUCAUACACUCACAAACACGUACUCAUACACUCACACACGCUCACUCUCACACAUUCACGCUCAUGCUCACAUUCACACUCAGAUAUAUAGUACACAUACACAUGUUGUGUAUGGACUGAUGUGUGUAUAUAUACUAUGAUAUGUUUAUGCAUUUAUAUAUACAGUUGUUUGCUAUCAGUUAUAUACAAUUAUCAAUGUAUGUAUAUAAUGAUACGUGCACGCACAUGCACCCUUACGCAUUGAUAAGUGCGUAUGUACGGUAUAUGUUUGCACUAAUACAUGCAUACUAUAUAGAUAUAUAUGACCAUAUAGACAUUUAUUAGCACUUUACAUAUAUAUAUAUAUAGUUACGAUAUGUAUAUACUGAUAUGUUUUUGCGUGUAUGUAUAAACUUCCUAUCAGUUAUAUAUACACUGAUAUGCGCCCACACAUGCACCCUUACGCAUUGAUAGGGCAUACGUACAUUCCUAUAUACACUGAUAUGUUUGACCCUAUGAACACUUCUUAUCAGUUUAUACAGCUAUUGGUGUUUAUGUACACUGAUAUGUAUAUACUUACACUCAUGUGCAUAUCUGUAUUGGGUUUAUAUAUACACUAAUAUAUAAGACCAUAUGUGUACUUAUUAUCAGUGAUGUAUAUAAUUAUUAGCUCAAUUUGUGUACGUAUUGAUGUAUAUCAAUAUAUACCAUUCUUUUCAGAGUAUAUAUAUACUGAUGCAUAUAACCAUAUAAUACAUUAGUUAUAAGCUAUAUAUACAAUUAUUAGUAUGUAAAAAUACAUUGAUAUGUGUGUGUGAUGUCUGUAUUUAUAUGAUGUGUAUAUACGGAUUUGUGUGUAUGUGUAAAGUACAUAACUAUAUAUAUACAAUACAUUAAUAUAUACGUUGAUGUAUAUGACCAUACAUACACUUAUUAUUACUAUAUACCUUUAUUAACGUAUAUGUACACUGAUUUAUAUACUACACACACUCACUGUCACACUCACUCUCACCCUCACCCUCACACUCACACUCACACUCACACUCACUCACUCAUACACACACACACUCACACACUUACACUCACUCUCACACUCGCACCAGCACUCUCACUCUCACUCGCACUCACACUGACAUUGACACUUACACACACUCACACUCACAAAUAUAUACACUAUCACUUGUAAUCAAAUAUGCAAUUGCGAAAUUCCUUAUUACUUUGUAAAAAAUUAAGCAUAAGAAUGGGUUUCUUCUCUUGAUGAAAUGGGUAUGUUGAAUACCCUAUUGUGAUAGUCCAUGUAAAUUUUUUAUCUUAUUUGUACUUGUUUUUUAUUAUUAUUGAUGAGCUUCAUCUUCAAAUUGAGUUUUCUUGUAAAUCAACAAGCACGAAAGCAACUUAUCAUAGAGGCGGAUCUCUUUACGUUAUUCGAUAUUUGAGAUCUUGAUAUUGCAAGCUUGAUUUGCUUGAUGGUUCUUUCUUCUUUAUUAUAGUAUUGCACUUGCUUCUUUUAUGCAAAUAUAGUGUGAAUUUUCUAGAGCUUUACUUGUGGCUUGCAAUUUUAUUAAGUAACUUUUUCUUAACACACACUCUUCCUUCUUUCAUGCAAAUAUGGAGUUACUUUUCUGGAGCUUUACUUGUGUUUUUGCAAUUUUAUUAAGGAAAUUUUUCUUUACACACACACAUGCACCACACACACACACACACUCACACUCACACUCACACUCACUCUCACACUCACACUCACACUAAUGUAUAGGAAUGGGUUUAUAUAUACACUAAUGUAUAAGGCCAUGUAUAUACUUAUUAUCAGUGAUAUAUACAGUUAUCAGCUCUAUAUGUUUAUGUAUUGAUGUAUAUAAGCAUAGAAUACAUUAGUUAUCGACUAUAUAUACAAUUACUAGUGUGUGAAAAAUACAUUGAUGUGUGUGUGAUGUUUGUAUAUGUGUAAAGUACAUAACUGUAUAUAUACAGUGUAUUAAUAUUUACUUUUAUGAAAAUACUGUUAAUGGCACAAAUUAAAGCUCAAAGCAUAAUUUUUUACUGAUAAAUAAGAAGCAGAGAGUGUGACUACAGGACCAAGUAAUCAAUAUUUUAUUGUUGAUUGUGUAAACUGUAAACUUACAGGAGCAAGCAAUUGUACAUAUAAGAUUAGUUCCCCAAACUUAAUCCUUCAGCUCUGUUUCCUCAAGAAAAUGAAAAGCCCUCUUCAAACUAUCCCAAAUCAGAGAGAAAAACCCUUUUCAAACUAUCCCAAAUCAGCUUUUCAUCUUCCUAAAUCAGCAUCCCAUCUUCCUUUUCUCUCUCUAAAAAUCAGUUAAGGCCUCUUCCAUUAGGGUUCUUUCUUUUCUCUCUCUAAAAAUCACUUAGGGCGGCCCCUUCCAUUAGGGUUUGUGAAAACUAUUUUCUUCUUCUUUCUUCUUGCUAUAAACCCUAAUGGUUAUGAGCCGAGCCAUAUUUACUUCUCUUCCUUUCCUUCGUCGUUCUUCUUCUUCUCUUUACACAGUAAACAUAGAUGUAAAUCCCAAAUUUAUAUGAACUUCUUCCAACUAAAGAAAUUUAUAAAACUUUAACCAUAGUUAUGGAGUGACCAUAAACACCAUACCAUAAUUAAAUAACUGUCGUGACAACAAAAAUCGUGUGUUUAUUUUUUGGUACCUGCUAAGUAGGAGUUAUGUUUAAGAUUUAAUAAAUAAAUUUAUAGUAUAUUUAUUUGUUUUUGUAUGUAAUAAGUAAGUGUGAUGUUUCUUAAAGUAUUUAAUUGGUAGAUUUAUAUGGUACUUUUUUUGGUAUAUACUAAUUAAUUAUGUAUUUAAUAUUGGAUGAGAGUCACAAGACAUCUAAAUUAAUUGACUUAAUUAUAUUAGUUUAGUAAAGUUUUUAUAGAUGAAUUAGUAAUUGAUGGCCUUGUCAAAAUUUUUAUUUUUUAGAAUUUCAAAAUUUCUAAUAUGAUAAAUUUAUCCGAUUUUUUUACUCUGAUUUUUUUAGCCUAAUCCGAUAUAUUAGCGAUAUCUUUAUAUGAAGUAUUUUUACCAAUCCGUAUUUUUCAUCCAAUUUUUUCAUCUGAUUUUCAAAAUAAAAACGAUUUAUUUUCGAUAUGUAUAUACUGAUAUGUUUAUGCAUGUAUGUAUAAACUUGCUAUCAGUCAUGUACACACUGAUAUGCGCACACACAUGCACCCUUACGUAUUGACAGUGCAUAUAUACAUUUCUAUAUACACUGAUAUAAAUGACCUUAUAGACACUUAUUAUCAGCUUAUACAGUUAUUAGUGUAUAUGUACACUGAAAUGUAUAUACGCACACUCAUAUGCAUAUCUAUAAAAGGUUUAUAUAUACACUAAUGUAUAAGACCCAUGUAUGUACUUAUUAUCAGUGAUAUAAACAGUAUUGAGCUCAAUUUGCCUACGUAUUGAUUUAUAACAAUAUAUACCAUUAUGUUCAAUGUAUAUAUAUUUAUACUGAUGCAGAUAACCAAACAAAACAUUAGCUAUUUGCUUUAUAUACAGUUAUUAGUUUGUAAAAAAUACAUUGAUAUGUAUGUGUGAUGUCUGUAUAUAUACGAUGUGAAUAUACUGAUAUGUGUGUAUGUGUAUGUGCAAAGUGCAUAACUGUAUAUAUACAAAGCAUCAAUAUAUACAUUUCUAUAUACAUUGACAUAUAUGACUAUAUAUACAUUACUUUUCAGUUUAUACUGUUAUUAACGUAUAUGUAUACUGAUUUAUAUGUUACACACUCACUCACACUCACACUCUCCCUUACACUUACACUCACACACUCACUCACAUACACACGCACACACACUCACACACAGUCACUCACAUACACACACACACACACUCACACUCACACUCACACUCACACUCACACUCACUCACACACACUCACACUCACAGAUAUAUAUAUUACACAUAUAUGCAUGUUGUGUAUGGACGGAUGUGUGUAUAUAAACGAUAUGUAUAUACUAAUAUGUUUAUGCCUGUUUUUGCGAUCUUGAUCUUGAAAACUUGAUUUGCUUAAUGGUUCUUUCUUCUUUAAUAUAAUACUUCUUCUUUCAUGCAAAUAAGAAGUGAAUUUUCUUGAGCUUUGCUUGUGGUUUGCAAGUUUAUUAUGUAACUUUUCUUGACACACACACUCUUGCUUCUUUUAUGCAAAUAUGGAGUGAAUUUUUUGGAGCUUUACUUGUUAUUUCCAAUUUCAUUAAGUAACUUUUUCGUAACACACAUGCACACACUCACACUCACACUUACACACACACUCACACGUGCACACACACACUUACACACACACUCACGCUCACACUCACACACACUCACACACACUCACACUCACGAUCACAGUCAGAGUCACACACACUCGCACACUCACACAUUCACACACAUGCACACACACUCACACACACACUCACACUCACAACUCACACUCACACACACUCACAUUCACACGCACACUCACAAACUCACACACUCACUCACACACUCACGCUCACAAUCACUCACACUCACACUCGCUCACACUCACACUCACACUCACACUCACACUCACACUCACACUCACACACACUCACACACGCUCACACAUACUCACACAUUCACACUCACACUCGCACUCACACACACACACUUUCACACUUACACACUCAUACACACUAACACACACUCACACAGACUCACUCAUAACUUACACUCACACUCACAGAUAUAUGCUACACAUAUAUGUGUGUUGUGUAUAGACUGAUGUGUGUAUAUAUACGAUAUGUAUAUACUUAUAUGUUUUUGCGUUUAUGUAUACAAUUGCUUGCUAUCAAUUAUAUAUAGUUAUCAAUGUAUAUAUACACUGAUAUACACACGCACUUGUACCCUUACACGUCGAUAGGUUCAUAUAUACUGUGUAUGUAUACACUAAUACAUACAUUGACACUCACACUCACACUCACACUCACACUGACACUAACACUGACACUCAUACUCACACUCACACUCACAGUCACAGUCACACUGACAUUGACACUGACACUCACACUGACACUCACACUCACACUUACACUCACACUCACACUUACUCACACUCACACUCACACUCACAUUCAUACUAACACUCACUCACACUCACACACACUCACACUCACACUCACAGAUAUAUAUAUUACACAUAUAUGUAUGUUGUGUAUGGACUGAUGUGUGUAUAUAUACGAUAUGUAUAUACUAAUAUGUUUAUGCCUGUUUUUGCGAUCUUGAUCUUGAAAACUUGAUUUGCUUAAUGGUUCUUUCUUUUUUAAUAUAGUACUUCUUCUUUCAUGCAAAUAAGAAGUGAAUUUUCUGGAGCUUUACUUGUCGUUUGCAAUUUUAUUAUGUAACUUUUCUUAACACACACUCUUGCUUCUUUUAUGCAAAUAUGGAGUGAAUUUUUUGGAGCUUUACUUGUUGUUUCCAAUUUCAUUAAGUAACUUUUUCUUAACACACACGCACACACACACACUCACACUCACACGCACACUCACACUCACACUCACACUCACACUCACACGCGCACACACACUCACACUCACACUCACACUCACACUCACAUACACUCACACUCACACACACUUACACUCUCACACAGUCACAGUCACGAUCACAUUCACUAUCAGAGUCACACACACCCUUGCACUCACACAUUCACACACUCACGUGCACACACUUACACUCACAACUCACACACACUCACACACACUCACAACUCACACUGACACUCACACACACUCAACUCACACUCACACUCACACUCACACUCACACACACUCACAUUCACACGCACACUCACAAACUCAUACACUCACAN
rnacentral:lncRNA from 1 species